rnacentral:rRNA from 1 species
UACGGGGGGAGCAAGCGUUGUUCGGAUUUACUGGGCGUAAAGGGCGCGUAGGCGGCCUCUGCAAGUCGACUGUGAAAGUCUCCGGGCUUAACCCGGAACGGUCAGCCGAUACUGCAGGGCUAGAGUGCAGAAGGGGCAACUGGAAUUCUCGGUGUAGCGGUGAAAUGCGUAGAUAUCGAGAGGAACACCUGCGGCGAAGGCGGGUUGCUGGGCUGACACUGACGCUGAGGCGCGAAAGCUAGGGGAGCGAACGGG